rnacentral:misc_RNA from 1 species
CGCACAUUGCGCCCGCUGGUAUUCCAGCGGGCAUGCCUGUUCGAGCGUCAUUUCAACCCUCAAACUUGUAGUAGUUUGGUGUUGGGGCAAUACCUCCGUCUUCCCUUCUGGGGAAGCAGGGUAUGCCCUCAAAUAGAGUUGGCGGGCUCACUAAGACUCUGAGCGUAGUAGUUUAACCACCUCGCUUUUGGAUGGAUUAGUGAUUGCUCUAGCCGUUAAACCCCCCUCUUUUUUAGAAAGUUGACCUCGGAUCAGGUAGGAAUACCCGCUGAACUUAA